rnacentral:tRNA from 1 species
GGGGAUGUAUCUCAGUGGUAGAGACUUGCCUAGCAAGGGUAAAGGCCUGGGUUCAAGUUCCCAGCACCCG